rnacentral:tRNA from 1 species
GAGAGGGUGGCUCAGUAGAUAAAAGCACUUGCUUUGCAAACAUGCGGACCUGGGUUUGAAUCCCCAGCACACACA